rnacentral:lncRNA from 1 species
AUUUGGCAGUUAAGUUAAAAUUUAACCUGUUCUCUUCAGGAUCUUUGAGAUUCUGGGCAGGUUACUUUUUAAGACACUGCUCUACUGCUUUCUAAAAUGCAUAAAAGCCUCCAGAGAGACCACAACUGUGGACGCGGAGGUCUAUGGGAAAUGUAGUCUUGAAUCCGUCUGUUUCACCGCGCGGCACUCUGGGAAGAGCAUUCUGGGCUUCUUCAGCGCGUGUGCAGCCGUAGCCCCGCCUCCUCACUCGUCUCUGAACUCUAGGGGAGCGGUGUCGUUACGUGGGGUUCUGCUCGGAAAGUGAAGGGUGCGCACCUGGGGUGAGAGUGCGAGGGGGCGGGGGGUCAGCUGGGAGGGGGUGCCUUUGUGCCUAGGGAUGAGAGCGGAAAAUCUUUGACACGCACUCCCACCAACGCUGGUGUACAUGCUCGAGCGGGCCCUCAGCCUGGGGAAGGCCAGUAAGGAGUGACCCGGGCCCUCGGGCUCCGAGGGUGCAGGUCGGGUUGGUCCGGUUAAGAGCAGGUGUUCAGUCUAGGCCUGGUUGUGUGGGACCUUGGAUUUGGCCUCGCCUGCAGCCUAACAGGGGGAAAAGCCCAUGUCGGCGACAGGAGAGAGAGUGAAUUUAUACCGCUGAUGAUGGCCAUGGGUCUGCAAUGAGAACCCUACUACGGAGCCAGAAGAGCCUGGGUAAAUGCCAGCUGAACCACAAUUCUCUACUCUCCCAAAAGCAGAAAAUGAACAUAAUUCAGGUGAGCUCUUUAUUCUUUCUCCAUUCUGCAUUGUAUUGGAUUUAUAAGUCUAAGAAGCAUACAUAUAUUAAUGGAAAAGGAAAACUAGAAAUAGAUCAAGUCAAUCUUGAGGGAUAAUAUAUACACUGUCUUACUAUUCACUGUGAUGUUUGCUGUCAGCCUUUGAUAGGUAACCUUUGUCAGGGUAAGUAGGUUACUUCCAGGAACCAGUUUGCUAAGAUUUUACAUUAGUCAUGAAUGCAUAUUAAAUUAUGUUGAUUAAAGAACCUGCCUGAAAUGCAGGAGACCCAGGUUUGAUCCCUGGGUUGAGAAGAUCCCCUGGAGAAGGGAAUGGCUACCCACUCCAGUAUUGUUCCCUGGAGAAUUCCAUGGACAGAGUAUCCUGGCAGGUUACAGUCCAUGGGAUUGCAAAGAGUUGGAUACGACUGAAUAACUAACACACACACACACACACACACACACAUUUUGUUAUCUAUUGGAGAAAAACUAUAGCUUAUUUCCUUUAU